AGAAGACAUCAUUUGAAAAAGUCGCAUGCAGAUCAGGCCCACGGUUGUCCUUCCGCUGGCAUCUACACAAGGCGGUGCCUUGUCGUCUCAGCCUCUUGCAGAGAGCUACAAAACAGAGCAGACGGAGGCGGUUGCCCACUGGCCACUACCUUCUCCGAGAAUGAACGGGCGGGGGCUGCUGCUGCUCUGCCUCUUCCUCUCGGCCGCGCUGACCCCGCCGCGGCAGCUCGCCGUCGCCGGCGCAGCCUCCAGUUCCAAGGUGGUGACCAGCCUCCCCGGCUUCCAAGGCCAGCUCCCCUUCCACCUCGAGACCGGGUACGUGGAGGUGGACGAGGAGAACGGCACCGAGCUGUUCUACUACUUCGUCGAGUCCGAGGCCGGCGCCCACAACGCCCCUUUCCUCCUCUGGCUCACCGGCGGCGACCGCUGCUCCGUACUCAGCGGCCUCGCCUUGGAGAUCGGUCCAUUCCAGUUCGUCGCAGAGCCCUACAACGGCACAGUACCGCGCCUGCAAAUCAACCCGUACUCAUGGACCAAGGUGGCAAAUGUCCUUUUCGUCGAUACACCGGUUGGGGCAGGAUUUUCCUUCUCCAGGCGGCCUGAAGGUUACCAUGUUGGGGAAGUAUCUACCUCGUUGCAGCUCCAUGAACUCCUCAUCAAGUGGUUCACUGACCAUCCCGAGUUCCUCGCAAAUCCUCUCUACAUCGGGGGAGACUCUCUUGCUGGACAACUUGUACCAUUUAUCGCUCAAAAGAUCUCAGAAGGUAUUGAAGCUGGAAGGAGCCCCAUCCUUAAUCUCAAGGGCUAUCUGGUAGGCAACCCGGGUACCGGCGAAAACAUUGAUAUUAGCUCCAGAGUGCCGUAUGCUCAUGGACUUGGUAUAAUAUCAGAUCAGUUAUAUGAGACAAUACUGGGGCAUUGCCAAGGAGAAGACUACAUGAAUCCUAGAAAUACACUGUGUGCUCAAUCUCUAGGCACUUUCAAUAAUCUCCGCUCAGAAGUUAUGGUUGCCCAAAUUUUGUUGGACAAUUGCGUUUAUGCAUCUCCUAGGCCAGGCAUCGAGACGGACAAGUCAGCUGGUGCUGCUCGGAAGAUCCUAAGCGAGGAAGCAGUAAUCGUAACGGGGAAACGAGUAAAACACCCGCCACCUCGUGUGCCAUUGGGCUGCAUUAGCUACACGGCUUACCUGUCGUAUUUCUGGGCAAACGACGAGCUCACCCGAGACGCCCUGGGGAUCAAGGACGGCACCGUGGACGAGUGGGUGAGGUGCCACGACGGCGACCUGCCGUACGCCGUGGACAUCGGGAGCAGCAUCAAGUACCACUGGAAUGUCACCGUCAAUGGUUACCGUGCGCUGGUGUACAGCGGCGACCACGAUGCGAUUGUGCCGCACCUGGGGACGCAGGCGUGGGUGAGGUCUCUCGGUUUCCCCAUCGUCGACGACUGGAGGGCCUGGCAUCUCGACGGCCAGUCUGCCGGAUUCACCAUAACUUACUCCAACAACAUGACAUUCGCGACCGUCAAGGGAGCCGGGCACACGGCGCCCCAGUACGAGCCCGAGAGGUGCUACGCCAUGUUCAACCGGUGGAUACUGGACCAGCCACUCUAGUCUACACUGGGAAUUGAAUACUUUUGUGUCUGGUUAACUGCAAAGCCCCCGCCCCCCGCGCCCCUCCUUCAUUUUCACAAUAUGGUUAGUUCGAAGAUAAUUUUGCAUUUCACUCUUUUCAUAAAAUCAUGUGAGAUAUAUGUGGACCAUAAUUUUCCAGUAGCCAAAUGGCUGAGAUAUAUGUGGAUCAGGUUUUCUGUAAGGGCUUUAUUAAUUUAAAGCCGGUCGGUAGCCUUUUUUUGUAAAAAAAAAAAUAGCCACUGAGGUUUAGAAGUUGGCUGGAUGUGGAUUUGUAA
rnacentral:rRNA from 1 species